rfam:Haemonchus contortus, ISE/inbred ISE, WGS project CAVP01000000 data, contig: Hcontortus_4703
UAAGGCUAGCUCAGAGAGGACGGAAACCUCUCGUAGAGCAAAAGGGCAAAAGCUCGCUUGAUCUUGACUUUCAGUACGAGUACAGACCGCGAAAGCGUGGCCUAUCGAUC